GAUGAACGCUGGCGGCGUGCCUAAUACAUGCAAGUCGAGCGAACGGACGAGAAGCUUGCUUCUCUGAUGUUAGCGGCGGACGGGUGAGUAACACGUGGAUAACCUACCUAUAAGACUGGGAUAACUUCGGGAAACCGUAGCUAAUACCGGAUAAUAUUUUGAACUGCAUGGUUCAAAAGUGAAAGACGGUCUUGCUGUCACUUAUAGAUGGAUCCGCGCUGCAUUAGCUAGUUGGUAAGGUAACGGCUUACCAAGGCAACGAUGCAUAGCCGACCUGAGAGGGUGAUCGGCCACACUGGAACUGAGACACGGUCCAGACUCCUACGGGAGGCAGCAGUAGGGAAUCUUCCGCAGUGGGCGAAAGCCUGACGGAGCAACGCCGCGUGAGUGAUGAAGGUCUUCGGAUCGUAAAACUCUGUUAUUAGGGAAGAACAUAUGUGUAAGUAACUGUGCACAUCUUGACGGUACCUAAUCAGAAAGCCACGGCUAACUACGUG
rnacentral:rRNA from 1 species